rnacentral:rRNA from 1 species
GACGAACGCUGGCGGCGUGCUUAACACAUGCAAGUCGAACGGAAAGUCCCUGCUUUUGUGGGGUGCUCGAGUUGCGAACGGGUGAGUAACACUUGAGUAACCUGCCCUUGACUUUGGGAUAACUUCAGGAAACUUGUGCUAAUACCGGAUAGGAGUUCCUGCUUCAUGGGGGGGGUUGGAAAGUUUCGGCGGUUGGGGAUGGACUCGCGGCUUAUCAGCUUGUUGGUGGGGUAGUGGCUUACCAAGGCUUUGACGGGUAGACGGCCUGAGAGGGUGACCGGCCACAUUGGGACUGAGAUACGGCACAGACUACUACGGGAGGCAGCAGUGGGGAAUAUUGCACAAUGGGAGGAAGCCUGAUGCAGCAACGCCGCGUGCGGGAUGACGGCCUUCGGGUUGUAAACCGCUUUCGCCUGUGACGAAGCGUGAGUGACGGUAAUGGGUAAAGAAGCACCGGCUAACUACGUG